rnacentral:rRNA from 1 species
GACCAGACUCCUACGGGAGGCAGCAGUGGGGAAUAUUGCACAAUGGGCGCAAGCCUGAUGCAGCCAUGCCGCGUGUAUGAAGAAGGCCUUCGGGUUGUAAAGUACUUUCAGCGGGGAGGAAGGUGUUGAGGUUAAUAACCUCAGCAAUUGACGUUACCCGCAGAAGAAGCACCGGCUAACUCCGUGCCAGCAGCCGCAGUAAUACGGAGGGUGCAAGCGUUAAUCGGAAUUACUGGGCGUAAAGCGGACGCUGGCCGUCUGUCAAGGCGGAUGUGGAAUCCCCGGGCUCAACCUGGGAACUGCAUUCGAAACUGGCAGGGUGGAGUCGUGUAGAGGGGAGGAGAAUUCCAGGGGUAGCGGUGAAAUGCGUA